rnacentral:rRNA from 1 species
GAUGAACGCUGGCGGCGUGCCUAAUACAUGCAAGUCGAGCGAACGGACGAGAAGCUUGCUUCUCUGAUGUUAGCGGCGGACGGGUGAGUAACACGUAGAUAACCUACCUAUAAGACUGGGAUAACUUCGUGAAACCGGAGCUAAUACCGGAUAAUAUUUUGAACCGCAUGGUUCAAAAGUAAAAGACGGUCUUGCUGUCACUUAUAGAUGGAUCCGCGCUGCAUUAGCUAGUUGGUAAGGUAACGGCUUACCAAGGCAACGAUGCAUAGCCGACCUGAGAGGGUGGUCGGCCACACUGGAACUGAGACACGGUCCAGACUCCUACGGGAGGCAGCAGUAGGGAAUCUUCCGCAAUGGGCGAAAGCCUGACGGAGCAACGCCGCGUGAGUGAUGAAGGUCUUCGGAUCGUAAAACUCUGUUAUUAGGGAAGAACAUAUGUGUAAGUAACUGUGCACAUCUUGACGGUACCUAAUCAGAAAGCCACGGCUAACUACGUG